rnacentral:rRNA from 1 species
GAUGAACGCUGGCGGCGUGCUUAACACAUGCAAGUCGAACGGAAAGGCCCAAGCUUGCUUGGGUACUCGAGUGGCGAACGGGUGAGUAACACGUGGGUGAUCUGCCCUGCACUUCGGGAUAAGCCUGGGAAACUGGGUCUAAUACCGGAUAGGACCACAUUUUGGAUGGUGUGGUGGAAAGUUUUUCGGUGUGGGAUGAGCUCGCGGCCUAUCAGCUUGUUGGUGGGGUAAUGGCCUACCAAGGCGUCGACGGGUAGCCGGCCUGAGAGGGUGUACGGCCACAUUGGGACUGAGAUACGGCCCAGACUCCUACGGGAGGCAGCAGUGGGGAAUAUUGCACAAUGGGCGGAAGCCUGAUGCAGCGACGCCGCGUGGGGGAUGACGGCCUUCGGGUUGUAAACUCCUUUCGCUAGGGACGAAGCGCAAGUGACGGUACCUGGAGAAGAAGCACCGGCUAACUACGUG